GGGUGUGAUCAUACCAGCAUUAAUGCAUCGGACCCCAUCAGAACUCCGCAGUUAAGCGUGCUUGGGCUAGAGUAGUACUGGGAUGGGUGACCUCUCGGGAAUUCCUUGUGUUGCACCCU
rnacentral:rRNA from 1 species